UGGGGAAUAUUGGGCAAUGGGCGCAAGCCUGACCCAGCAACGCCGCGUGAGUGAUUGAAGGUCUUCGGAUUGUAAAGCUCUGUCGCAGGGGACGAAGUAUGACGGUACCCUGUAAGAAAGCCCCGGCAAACUACGUGCCAGCAGCCGCGGUAAUACGUAGGGGGCUAGCGUUGUCCGGAAUUACUGGGCGUAAAGGGAGUGUAGACGGCUUGGUAAGUUAUAAGUGAAAGCCUGCGGCUCAACCGCAGAACUGCUUAUAAAACUACCUCGCUAGAGUGCAGGAGAGGUGAGUGGAAUUCCUAGUGUAGCGGUGGAAUGCGUAGAUAUUAGGAGGAACACCAGAGGCGAAGGCGGCUCACUGGACUGUAACUGACGUUGAGGCUCGAAAGCGUGGGGAGCAAACAGG
rnacentral:rRNA from 1 species